GCUCCCUCCCCCUUGAACAGAUCCUCCAACAGCUGCUCGCCUGCGGUGCCGGCCCGCGACGCCCACAGAGCAGCUCCCUCUCGUAGGCCAAGUGAGCGCAGCAGCCGCGCAUAGUCCAAAAAUGCGGUCUCUAUGAGUUUAUGUGCAAAUUCGUUGGCCUCCAUGACCCCGUAUUUCAGGCAGGCUUCGAUAAAGAGAGCGGCACUGUCAAAGUGCCUUGUACUGACAGCAAAGUGGAUGGAGGAGAAGACAGACAUGCAAUUGUCAGAAAGCAGCACGAAACCUGAUUUGAUGUGAGUGACCCUACAGCAUACGUGAGAUACAUGUCUCCUGAAUGUCUUUCAAAAUGUAAGGCACCAUUAAAGGGGACGCUAUGAAGAAAACAGAUAAAUUUUGAGACUAAAGACAAACGUCCAUGACAUGCAGUACUAUGAGAUAUGCGAACAACAUGAAGUGACUUCAGUGAAUUAUAAAAUCAGAAAAAAUAACAAGUGAAAAGUGAGAGUUGUGCAU